rnacentral:rRNA from 1 species
AUUGAACGCUGGCGGCAUGCCUUACACAUGCAAGUCGAACGGCAGCACGGGGGCAACCCUGGUGGCGAGUGGCGAACGGGUGAGUAAUGCAUCGGAACGUGCCCAGUAGUGGGGGAUAACUAGUCGAAAGAUUAGCUAAUACCGCAUACGACCUAUGGGUGAAAGCGGGGGAUUCGCAAGAACCUCGCGCUAUCGGAGCGGCCGAUGUCUGAUUAGCUAGUUGGCGGGGUAAAAGCCCACCAAGGCUUCGAUCAGUAGCUGGUCUGAGAGGACGACCAGCCACACUGGGACUGAGACACGGCCCAGACUCCUACGGGAGGCAGCAGUGGGGAAUUUUGGACAAUGGGCGCAAGCCUGAUCCAGCCAUGCCGCGUGC